rnacentral:rRNA from 1 species
GAUGAACGCUAGCGGCAGGCCUAACACAUGCAAGUCGAGGGGCAGCACAGAAACAGCAAUGUUUUGGUGGCGACCGGCGGACGGGUGCGUAACGCGUAUACAACCUACCUUUAACAGGGGGAUAACGGAGAGAAAUUUCCACUAAUACCCCAUAACAUCGAUCAAGGCAUCUUGAUUGGUUGAAAACUCCGGUGGUUAAAGAUGGGCAUGCGUUGUAUUAGGUAGUUGGUGAGGUAAUGGCUCACCAAGCCUACGAUACAUAGGGGGACUGAGAGAUUAGCCCCCCACACUGGUACUGAGACACGGACCAGACUCCUACGGGAGGCAGCAGUGAGGAAUAUUGGUCAAUGGGGGCAACCCUGAACCAGCCAUGCCGCGUGCAGGAAGACGGCUCUAUGAGUUGUAAACUGCUUUUAAACAGGGAUAAAGCACAGUAUGUAUACUGUGUUGAAGGUACUGUAAGAAUAAGGAUCGGCUAACUCCGUGCCAGCCGCCGCGGUAA